UACAGAGGUCUCAAGCGUUGUUCGGAUUCAUUGGGCGUAAAGAGCACGCAGGCGGUUUGGCAAGUCGGAUGUGAAAGCCCGGAGCUCAACUCCGGACCUGCAUCCGAAACUGCCCGACUAGAGGUAGGUAGGGGAGAUCGGAAUUCCUGGUGUAGCGGUGAAAUGCGCAGAUAUCAGGAGGAACACCGGUGGCGAAGGCGGAUCUCUGGGCCUUACCUGACGCUCAGGUGCGAAAGCUAGGGGAGCGAACAGG
rnacentral:rRNA from 1 species